rnacentral:piRNA from 1 species
UGCCUUUAGAUCAUAUGACUUGGACGUAGC